CGGAGGACAAGAGACUUCUAAACGGUCUGGAGGGACGAUUUGGGUCACAUCCGAGACGCAGUUGCACAUCAACAAGCGUCCGGGCUCCAGGGACAUGGCGGCGGCCUCUGUGGUGUCGGUGCUGCUGAUGGCGACUGAGAGGAACUGUGGCAGCUAGUCCAGAGCCCGCUGCUGCUGCUGCUGCCGCCCAGGCAACGGUCCAAAAGAUACUUCUAGUGCUUGGAUACUACCUGGGAGCAGCUCGUCAUGCCUGCAUUGUAUGGAACAAGUGUUCAAAAUAAAAUGCAAAAACUGUUGUGUCCCUUUCUGCCUUAAUGCCAAUCAAUAUGCUAAAGUCCUCAAAAAGUUCCUGAGGGAUCCAUUUCCAAUUCUAGUGAAGAGCUGAUCUUUGAAAGGUGCUGACAGAAAGAAAGAGGCAUUACUAAGAGGGAACUCCUUGAUAAGAAGUGGAAGCAGGAGUCAGUUUGGGAGGAAAACUGGCCAUAAACAUUGAAGAAGACAAGAAGAUUCUUUGUGACACUGAGGCUUUCUACCACACCAUGGUGGAGGAAAUGCCAAAGACUGUGGCUGACCUAAUUUAAUUCCUGGAAUGAAAUGGUUAUGAAUGUAGUGCUUGCUCUUGCUGAAUAGGCAAUCACAUUGUGCACUGUGUUUCUUUUGGGGAUAUGUGGAGCUUGUCUGAGUGCUCACAACAGAUUAAAAAUACAGAUUUUGAUAGCAAAGCAACUUCAGACAUGAUUUCAUGUGAGGGUAGUCAUUGGUUUUAUCCUCUUGUUACCUAGUUCUCUACACAUGGUUGUAUUGAGUAUUUGCCAUCAUUUAAUAAUAUGGACCGAAAGAUAUAAAAGCAGCUAAUUAUAAAGUUUGUCUGCCUUUAUUGUAUUAGUCACUAACUGAACAGAGCUAACUUUAAAAUGAUUUUCUAAGAAAAUACUUAAAUUUAUUUUGUUUGGUAUCAUUUUUUUCAGUAAGGCAUUUUAUUAGCAGUUAGUUGAAUGUUUAUUGAAUGUUCAAUAAAUUACAGUGAAGUAUUUUUUUCUCUGAAGUAGUUUGGUCCUUAUUUUUUAAAGAUUUGUACCUCUAGCUAUAAUCCAUAUUUCCAAAGGAAAAAGAUAAAACAGCAGUCCAUAGUAAUAUUUUACUCCAGUUAUAAAAUUAUACACAAAAGAUACAAUGAACAUGGCUUUUCAUAAAAAGAUUUAAUAGUUCCAAGUUAGCUGCUGCUUGGCAGUAGCAUGAAGACUGAGCAAUUGCAGAUUUCACCAGUACCAUCUACUAAACAAUAUCUGCUUCUUCAAGAAGAAAGAAGCAAAAAUAUAAAAUUCCUCCCUCCUCUGGUAUGACAAACAUUUCCUGGUACACAUCAUGUAACUGCUCAACAACAAGGUUUUUGUUAAUAAACUAAUUAAUCAAUAGAUUUCUUUUUCCAUAACAAUAACAUGGAGUUGCUAUUUGUUGUUGUCAUUUAGUUACUAAAUUGUGUCCUACUCUUUUGUGACUCCAUAGACUGUAGCCUCCCGGGGCUCCUCUGUCCAAGGGAUUCUCCAGGCAAGAAUACUGAAGUGGGUUGCCGUUUCUUUUUCCAGGGGAUCUUCCUGACCCAGGGGCCAAACCCAAGGCUCCUGCAUUGGCAGGCAGAUUAUUUACCACUGAGCCACCUGGGAAGCCCUGCGUUGAUAUAAUUAUUGACUUUACCAAAAAACCUGCACAGCCCUAUUUAAUAAUGUGGAUUUUAUUCAGGAUCAAAGUCAACCAUUAUCUCCACCUAAAGGCACGUUUGAUUAGUUUCUUGAAUGCAAUAGCUUCCUCCUGGACACUUCUGCCUCCCGGGGCUACACUCUCACUUUUCUUCCUCCUACUUAUGUGGCCCUCUGCUAUCCUCUUGUCAUUCUUCCUGUGUGCUCUUCCAUGUACUAGACUGACCUCUCCCUGGCUAUCAGUCUGAGGACUCUGGCACUUCAAUAUGUUCAAAAGCAAACUUAACCAUCUUGUUCCAGUAAUGUUUAGCUCAUUACCUUGUACCUCCUUCUCUUAUCUGGGCUUCCCUGGUGGCUCAGACAGUGAAGAAUCUGCCUGCAAUGCGAGAGACCUGGGUUCAAUCCUUGGGUUGGGAAGAUCCCCUGGAGGUGGGCAUGGCAACCCACUCUAGUAUUCUUGCCUGGAGAUUCCGCACAGACAGGGGAGCCUGGUGGGCUACAGUCCUUGAGGUCACAAAGGGUAAGACAUGACUGAGUGACUAAGCACAGCACAGCAGAUUUGGAGAUCAUUCAGCAAUGGUUUCCAAAUUUGUCUCUCUGCCCUCGGUCUUAACUUUAUCCAAUCUAUUGUACUACUUGGCCCCCAGGGUGAUCUCAUAAAAAUUUAAAUUAGUAAAUAGCUUUCCUUCCUACCUGGGAUAAAGUCCAAAGUCAAUAGCUUUCCUACCUUUGGUUUUGCAUCUAAAAGUUAUUACCAAACCCAAAGUCAGCAAGAUUUUUUCCUGUGUUAUUUUCUAGGUGUUUUAUAGUUUUGUGUUUAAUAUUUAGUUCUGUAAAUCCAUUUUUAGUUAAUUUUUCUGAAAAUACAAGGUCUAGAUUUAUUUCUUUCCAUGUGAUAUCAAAUUGUUUCAGCACUAUUUUUAGAAAAGACGAUCUUUUCUCCAUUGCA